rnacentral:rRNA from 1 species
AGUGAACGCUGGCGGUAGGCCUAACACAUGCAAGUCGAACGGCAGCACAGUAAGAGCUUGCUCUUACGGGUGGCGAGUGGCGGACGGGUGAGGAAUACAUCGGAAUCUACUUUUUCGUGGGGGAUAACGUAGGGAAACUUACGCUAAUACCGCAUACGACCUACGGGUGAAAGCAGGGGGUCUUCGGACCUUACGCGAUUGAAUGAGCCGAUGUCGGAUUAGCUAGUUGGCGGGGUAAAGGCCCACCAAGGCGACGAUCCGUAGCUGGUCUGAGAGGAUGAUCAGCCACACUGGAACUGAGACACGGUCCAGACUCCUACGGGAGGCAGCAGUGGGGAAUAUUGGACAAUGGGCGCAAGCCUGAUCCAGCCAUACCGCGUGGGUGAAGAAGGCCUUCGGGUUGUAAAGCCCUUUUGUUGGGAAAGAAAAGCAGCAGGUUAAUACCCCGCUGUUCUGACGGUACCCAAAGAAUAAGCACCGGCUAACUUCGUG